AUUGAACGCUGGCGGCAUGCCUUACACAUGCAAGUCGAACGGCAGCGCGGACUUCGGUCUGGCGGCGAGUGGCGAACGGGUGAGUAAUGUAUCGGAACGUACCAUUGAGUGGGGGAUAACGUAGCGAAAGUUACGCUAAUACCGCAUAUUCUCUCCGGAGGAAAGCAGGGGACCGACAGGCCUUGCGCUCUUUGAGCGGCCGAUAUCAGAUUAGCUAGUUGGUGGGGUAAAAGCUCACCAAGGCGACGAUCUGUAGCGGGUCUGAGAGGAUGAUCCGCCACACUGGAACUGAGACACGGUCCAGACUCCUACGGGAGGCAGCAGUGGGGAAUUUUGGACAAUGGGGGCAACCCUGAUCCAGCCAUGCCGCGUGAGUGAAGAAGGCCUUCGGGUUGUAAAGCUCUUUCGGCCGGGAAAAAAUCGCAUGGAUUAAUACUCUGUGUGGAUGAUGGUACCGGAAUAAGAAGCACCGGCUAACUACGUGCCAGCAGCCGCGGUAAUAC
rnacentral:rRNA from 1 species